AUUUAUAUAGUAUAAUUAGUAUACAUGACUUCCAAUCAUGAGGUUUAAUUUUUAAUAUAAAUA
rnacentral:tRNA from 1 species